rnacentral:rRNA from 1 species
AUGCAUUCCUUCAACAUUCCUCCGGCCGUGCUGCAGUUGUUCCUGCUACUCUCCUUGGUCUCUCCCACCACCUCAUGCACCGAGCAGGAGAAGCAUGCACUUCUCCAGUUCCUCGCUGGGACGUCGGGAGAUGGAACCCUCGCCGCGUCGUGGCGCCAUGAGACAGACUGCUGCGAGUGGGAAGGCAUCAUUUGCAAUGGAGAUGGGGCCGUCACUGAGAUCUCCCUGGCAUCUAAAGGACUUGAAGGGCGCAUCUCGCCAUCUCUAGCCGACCUCAUAGGCUUGCUGCAUGUCAACCUUUCGCACAACUCUCUCUCCAGUGGCCUUCCGCUAGAGCUCAUGUCCUCCAGCAGCAUCAUCGCCCUUGACGUCAGCUUCAACCGACUAAAUGGAACGCUACAAGAGCUGCUGUCUUCGAUCACCACAGACCGGCCUCUGCAGGUACUCAACGUCUCAAGCAACCAGUUCAGCUUAGAACUUCCAUCAGCCACAUGGAAGAUGAUGAAAAAUCUAAUCGCGUUCAACGCCAGCAAUAACGGCUUCACUGGGCACAUACCGUCUUCUCUUUGCCUUGGCUCGCCAUCUUUGGCUUUGCUUGACCUCUGUCACAACCAAUUGAGUGGUGACAUUCCGAACACACUAGGUAAUUGCUCCAAGCUCAAAGUGCACAAGGCUGGUAACAACCACCUAAGUGGGACUCUCCCUGUUGAAAUCUUGCACACUGCUUCGCUGGAGUACCUCUCCUUCCCCAACAAUGGUUUGCAAGGAGAACUUCAUGGAGCACAAAUGGUCAAACUCAGUAAUCUAGGUACUCUUGACCUUGGAGGGAACCAGAUCAGUGGAAACAUCCCAGAAUCGAUAGGUCAGCUCAGGAGGCUGGAGAAGCUUCAUUUGGGUAACAACAACAUGUCUGGCGAGCUGCCAUCAACUCUGAAUUGCACAAAUCUCAAAACCAUCAAUCUGAAGAUCAACAACUUCAGUGGAGAUCUAAGCAAGGUAAACUUCGCAACCCUACAGAAUCUAAGAAGUAUAGAUCUCAUGAUGAAUCAUCUCGGUGGCAUAGUGCCAGAAAGCAUUUACUCAUGCGGCAUGUUGACUGCACUGCAGCUGUUGGGCAACAAUUUCCAUGGUGAGAUCUCACCAAGAAUAGGCAAUCUGAAGCAUCUAUCCUUCCUAUCACUUGGUAGUAACUCCUUUACAAAUAUCAUGAAAGCUUUGCAUGCCCUUAAGAGCUGCAGGAACAUCAGCACCUUGCUUACUGGCAAAAACUUCAUGAAUGAGGCCAUGCCACAAGAUGAAACCAUUGACGGUUUUCAGAAUCUUCAGUUUCUAAUGCCAAUGCUAAAAUCAGACAAGCCUGCCAUAUAUUUCAACCCAAGCCUCCUUGACCUACCAAUUUAUGUGGACGGCGCCAAUGCUAAACUUCAGUACCGCAUGGGCAGUGCUUGGCCCAAAGGGCUGGAUCUUGGUAAGAAUAAAUUCACAGGUAUGAUCCCCCAAGAGAUUGGUCAUCUGAAAGCACUCACUUACCUAAACUUGAGUUUCAACAACUUUUAUGGAGAGAUCCCACAAUCAAUCUGCAAGCUCACGAACCUCCAGGGGCUAGAUUUGUCUAAUAACCAUCUCACCGGUGCAAUCCCUAUGCCGUUGGAGAAUCUUCACUUCCUUUCAUGAUUCAACGUUUCUGACAACGACCUAGAAGGAUCUAUUCCAGCAGAAGGGUAGCUGAGCACGUUUCAGGCUUCUAGUUUUGACGGGAAGCCAAAGCUGUGCGGCUCUGUGCUUACUAACCAUUGCAGUUUAGUUGAAGCAGCUCCCGUCUCCAUCAUCUCUGCAAAACAAUGCAGCGAAAAGAUCAUCUUCGUGAUUGCAUUUGGUGUGUUCUUCGGGGUUGGAGUGCUAUAUGAUCAGUUAGUAUUAUUCAGAUAUUUUGGCUAA